UCAAUGGGAAGCCGUGAUGCGGAGCGAAAUAAAGUAGCGAAGUCCGUGAGCCAUGCGUCAAGAAAAGCCGCUAUUGUUUAUACCGUACCCGUACCGUAAACCGACACAGGUGGAUGAGGAGAGCAUCCUAAGGCCGGCGGAAGAAGCAUUGUCAAGGAACUCGGCAAAAUGGCCCCGUAACUUAGGGAUAAGGGGUGCCUGGGAAACCAGGCCGCAGAGAAUAGGCUCAAGCAACUGUUUAGCAAAAACACAGGUCUAUGCGAAACCGAAAGGUGAGGUAUAUGGGCUGACGCCUGCCCGGUGCUGGAAGGUUAAGAGGAGAGGUUAGCGGUGACACGAAGCUUUGAAUUUAAGCCCCAGUAAACGGCGGCCGUAACUAUAACGGUCCUAAGGUAGCGAAAUUCCUUGUCGGGUAAGUUCCGACCCGCACGAAAGGCGUAAUGAUUUGAGCGCUGUCUCGACAAUGCAUCCGGUGAAAUUGAAGUACCAGUGAAGAUGCUGGUUACCUGCGCCAGGACGGAAAGACCCCAUGGAGCUUUACUCCAGUCUGGUACUGGGACUCGGUAUUGCAUGUACAGGAUAGGUGGGAGGCUAGGAGAUGGUAACGCCAGUUGCCAUGGAGCCGCUGUUGGGAUACCACCCUUGCAGUAUUGGGUUUCUAACCAGCCGCCGUGACCCGGCGGUGGGACAAUGCCAGACGGGGAGUUUGACUGGGGCGGUCGCCUCCGAAAGGGUAUCGGAGGCGCCCAAAGGUUCCCUCAGAAUGGACGGAAACCAUUCGAAGAGUGCAAAGGCAGAAGGGAGCUUGACUGCGACACCGACGGGUGGAGCAGGUACGAAAGUAGGGCUUAGUGAUCCGGUGGUAUUAAGUGGGAAUGCCAUCGCUCAACGGAUAAAAGCUACCCUGGGAUAACAGGCUUAUCACUCCCAAGAGUUCACAUCGACGGAGUGGUUUGGCACCUCGAUGUCGGCUCAUCGCAUCCUGGGGCUGUAGUAGGUCCCAAGGGUUGGGCUGUUCGCCCAUUAAAGCGGUACGCGAGCUGGGUUCAGAACGUCGUGAGACAGUUCGGUCCCUAUCCGGCGUGGGCGUAGGAUAUCUGAGAGGAGCUGUCCUUAGUACGAGAGGACCGGGAUGGACGGGCCGCUGGUGCAUCGGUUAGACUGCCAAGUCUACGGCCGAGUAGCCAAGCCCGGAAGGGAUAAGCGCUGAAGGCAUCUAAGCGUGAAGCCCCCCUUGAGAUGAGAUAUCCCAUUCGAAAGAAGUAAACCCCCUUGAAGACGACGAGGUAGAUAGGGCAGAGGUGGAAGUGCAGCAAUGCAUGGAGCUGACUGUUACUAAUCGGGUGAGGGCUUGACC
rnacentral:rRNA from 1 species